GGAAAACAUCUUGAAGUCUGUCGGGAUAAAGGUGAACUUCGAGGCGGAUUUUCUGGUUAUGGUUGCGAGAGUUUCAGAGUAUGAGCCAAUAAUGCCA
rnacentral:sRNA from 1 species